UACGUAGGGUGCAAGCGUUGUCCGGAAUUAUUGGGCGUAAAGAGCUCGUAGGCGGUUCGUCGCGUCGGCUGUGAAAACCUGAGGCUCAACCUCAGGCCUGCAGUCGAUACGGGCGGACUUGAGUACUGCAGGGGAGACUGGAAUUCCUGGUGUAGCGGUGAAAUGCGCAGAUAUCAGGAGGAACACCGGUGGCGAAGGCGGGUCUCUGGGCAGUAACUGACGCUGAGGAGCGAAAGCGUGGGGAGCGGACAGG
rnacentral:rRNA from 1 species